CCGGCAAAUAUUUCUGCCCACUCGGUGGCCA
rnacentral:piRNA from 1 species